AACUGCGGAAGAUCAUUUCACGAGUUCUUGAACGGGUUGUAGCUUGGCUUCUUUUUUUAAGAAGCAUGUGCACGCCUGGCUCAAUUCCCACUCCUUAACCUCUGUGCACUUAUUGUAGGUCGGUGGAGGCUGGCGCAAGUCAGUUUGAAGCCUUCCUAUGUUUUAUUAUGAACGUAUCAGUUAUAGAAUGUCUUACUUUGCUAUAAUGCAAUUAUAUACAACUUUCAGCAACGGAUCUCUUGGCUCUCGCAUCGAUGAAGAACGCAGCGAAAUGCGAUAAGUAAUGUGAAUUGCAGAAUUCAGUGAAUCAUCGAAUCUUUGAACGCACCUUGCACCCCUUGGUAUUCCGAGGGGUAUGCCUGUUUGAGUGUCAUGGUAUUCUCAACCCCCAAAUUCUUUAUUGAAUCUUGGUGGGCUUGGACUUGGAGGUUGUGCUGGAUUUUGAUUAAUUCAGCUCCUCUGAAAUAUAUUAGUGUGAAUCUUACGGAUCGCCUUCAGUGUGAUAAUUGUCUACGCUGUGGUUGUGAAGUAUAUUUGUAUUCAUGCUUCUAAUCGUCUCUUACUGAGACAAUUACAUUUUUGACAUCUGACCUCAAAUCAGGUAGGACUACCCGCUGAACUUAAGCAUAUCAAUAAGCGGAGGAAAAGAAACUAACAAGGAUUCCCCUAGUAACUGCGAGUGAAGCGGGAAAAGCUCAAAUUUAAAAUCUGGCAGUCUUCGAUUGUCCGAGUUGUAGUCUAGAGAAGCAUUUUCCGCGCUGGACCGUGUACAAGUCUCUUGGAAAUAGAGCGUCAUAGAGGGUGAGAAUCCCGUCCAUGACACGGACUACCAGUGCUUUGUGAUGUGCUCUCAAAGAGUCGAGUUGUUUGGGAAUGCAGCUCAAAUGGGUGGUAAUUCCAUCUAAAGCUAAAUAUUGCGAGAGACCGAUAGCGACAGUAC
rnacentral:rRNA from 1 species